ACACGUGGAGCUGACGGAUACUAAUCGAUCGAGGACUUAACUUCGCAAGAAAAGACGUAUUCGUCUUUGGCAGUUCGUAUUUAGUUUUGAAGGUGUUAUUCCUUUGAAAAAUAUUAAAUUUUCACUUGCAUUUUAUUGCGAAGGUGAAUUAUAAUAUUAUUUGUCUUGGAAAUACCAAGAUACAUAUAAAAGCUAAUAAGUCCGGUGGCGAUGGCAGAGAGGUCACACCUGUUCCCAUACCGAACACAGCAGUUAAGCUCUCUAGCGCCGAUGGUAAUUGGGGUGUUUCCCCUGUGAGAGUAGGACGCUGCCGGGC
rnacentral:rRNA from 1 species